AUUGAACGCUGGCGGCAGGCCUAACACAUGCAAGUCGAGCGGAUGAAGGGAGCUUGCUCCUGGAUUCAGCGGCGGACGGGUGAGUAAUGCCUAGGAAUCUGCCUGGUAUUGGGGGAUAACGUCCGGAAACGGGCGCUAAUACCGCAUACGUCCUGAGGGAGAAAGUGGGGGAUCUUCGGACCUCACGCUAUCAGAUGAGCCUAGGUCGGAUUAGCUAGUUGGUAGGGUAAAGGCCUACCAAGGCGACGAUCCGUAACUGGUCUGAGAGGAUGAUCAGUCACACUGGAACUGAGACACGGUCCAGACUCCUACGGGAGGCAGCAGUGGGGAAUAUUGGACAAUGGGCGAAAGCCUGAUCCAGCCAUGCCGCGUGUGUGAAGAAGGUCUUCGGAUUGUAAAGCACUUUAAGUUGGGAGGAAGGGCAGUAAGUUAAUACCUUGCUGUUUUGACGGUACCAACAGAAUAAGCACCGGCUAACUUCGUG
rnacentral:rRNA from 1 species